rnacentral:rRNA from 1 species
UACGUAGGGGGCGAGCGUUGUCCGGAGUUACUGGGCGUAAAGCGCACGCAGGCGGUCUGCUAAGUUUGGAGUGACAGUUGGUGGCUUAACUGCCAAAGUGCUUCGAAAACUGACAGACUUGAGGGCUUCAGAGGGACACGGAAUUCCGGGUGGAGUGGUGAAAUGACGUAGAGAUCCGGAGGAACACCAAAGGCGAAGGCAGUGUCCUGGGGAGUACCUGACGCUCAGGUGCGAAAGCCAGGGGAGCGAACGGGA